AGGGAAUCCCCAGAGGAGACCCCAACUCAGCCCCAGGUGAGACCCUGGGACAAGACAAGGUGGGGGACCAGAGCCUGAGCCCAGGCAGGGAUGGAUUUGGGGACUCCCCAGUGACGUUUUGGCCACCAGCAGGCACGCUCGUGCCAGCCCCCAGCCCUGGGUCCUGCACUGAAAGCGAGUCCUGAGCAAAGUUUCUAAGCCUCCAACUACCAGAAAAAGCCUGAAAAAACGACCGCAGAGGACCAUCUGCCUAGCUCUGCUGCCAGCCUGGAGACUGGCCCCCUCCGUCAGCCAACGCCACACGUCUGUGUUGAGAGUAGAGCCGGGAAAAAGCACCAACACAACUCAGAAGCACUACUGAUUUACCAGCGUGGCAGUGGAAGGUUUGGAGCCAGAAGGGAUUUCUGAAGGUGAUGUGUUUUGCCUAAGUCCCUUGCUGCAAAAUUUUGGACGCGCUUUGAGCAAGUGGUGCCCCUCCUGAGAUGAGUCUCCCAGGGAUGCUGAAAAUCACAAAAACCAAUGCAUUAACUCGGAGAAGAGGACCAGAAUGAAAGUCCAGAGACGCUGCCCACCCUGGACCUGAAAUGUCGCUUGAGUAACAGUGGUGGCAUUGCUGUAAAAUACAGAAAAAAACCCUCCUCUCCAAAAUGGCUGCAAAGAGUACAUCUCUGCAGUCCCUUCUUAAACACUGAAGCAUCCAUCGGGACCUUUGCCUCAGCCCAGGUCACUUCAGCAUCAUCCUGAAGGUGUGACUGGAAUUAUCUGCAGACCUUCAGAGACCGAAACAGCUCAUGGAGUUGUGUCUAUAGGAUUCACUCGCUCUUGCCUCUCCCAGCAUCAGGAUUCACUCUUUUAAAGCUUAGAUGAAAUAAUGUCACCAAGAAAGCACGGAAACAGUGGGAGCAAUGUGGCAGUGGCUGCCCGCCCAGCUGGGAGCUGCAAAGCAGCUGGCGUAACUACCCUGUGCUUCUUUGGGGGAUGUGAUGGAAGAGCAACACGACCCAUUUGAUCAGUGGUUGGAUUCUGGAGCUAAUUAUUUGACCUGCAACAUAACGACCUUAAUUGUGAAAGUGAGGUGAGUGGUUUGGGAGACGGCAUCUCUGCCCACGUACAAAAUGAUCUGGUGCGAAGGCUCCACCUCGGCAGCCUGUGGGACUAAUUUGGCACCUGAUUUGUCUAUAUUGUUAAAUCUCCCUACUGUUUUGGCAAGGAGAGGUUCAAAAUUGAUGCCUUUCAGAAUCAGCCUCAUUUGUUCACCAUGCACUGCAAUUAUUCCAGCCUGUAACCGAUGAGGUUUAAUCAGUAAUAAGAGCUUCAGACCUUACAGCGGCCCGUUCACCCUGUGUUGUUUGAGCAACAUUUCUGAAUGUUUUGGUGAGCAACUUCUCCCAUGGACUGGUUUUGAGAUAGAAGUGUGAAAGAUUUCUUACAAUGUCUGAAAUGGAAAAACAGUUACAUUCUGUACCUUUGCAAAAAUAUUUCUGAGGACACAUAAUAUAUUUUGCCAGGAUAACGUCCCCAUUCUAGGAGUCAUUCUUUCUUCUCAACAUUUGUUGCUUUUCUGUGUAAGAUGCACAGGGAAAUACUGGAAAAUGGGUAGGGAAAAUAGAAUUAACCCUGUGUUUUUCCCAAAAUUGCCCUUUGUGUCGCUUUAUUUUUAUUUUUUUCUAGCUUUUAUGAAGCCAUUAUUAAUCUAGUCAGCCAAGGUCAGGCGAGACUUUUUUCUGCUUUGCAGAUCCCGAAGCUUAUAAAGCUUCAAUCUACCCUGCCAUAACCAAAUGUUUAGUACCCACUGGCUGGGUUAAUUAGAGUGCAUUCUUUACAGCUCCAAUAAUAAUCACUACUACAGCAUCAUAGCAGUGGCUGAAGACUAUUUUUCCUUUUGUUAUUUCUUUUUAACAGUAAGCAUUUACAUAGUCACACUGUCUAAACCACUGGUUCUUUUGGGUUCAGCCAAGGGUUCACAUGCUUAUACCUGGAAAUACCAGGUUCCAGAAGGUAAGAGCAUCGCCUGCUCUCGUGAUCUCAAUGCAGCACAGCAUCCUGAGUAUGCCUCAAAAGGGGGUGACUUUGUGUUUUUUUAAGAGGAGGAGACAAUAUUCAUAGGGGGUGGGAAAGAUGAGAUUAAAGACCGAAGAUCACUGAAUGUCUGGCACUGAUUUAGAAACAGGCUUUGCCAAGCAGGGUGAGAAGGAGCCUUCCCUGAUCCAUCCAGUGUAUGGCUCUUAGUAUUGGUAACAGGGCUUUGGCUCCUAAAACAAAGAGUAGGGAAUGAAUUAGGAAACAAAUACAUUUCUGUAAACAAAGUUUUCA